AACGCACAUUGCGCCCGCCAGCAUUCUGGCGGGCAUGCCUGUUCGAGCGUCAUUUCGACCCUCAAGCCCCCUUUGCGGCUUGGUGUUGGGGUGCUUCUGCGGCGCGAGCUGCAGGCCCCGAAAUUCAGUGGCGGUCCCGACGAGGCCCUGAGCGCAGUAACUUAUUCUCGCUUCUGGAGUCCCGGCGGGCGACUUGCCGUAAAACCCCACAGCGCCCCUCGCGGCCCUGUGAACCCACCAAGGUUGACCUCGGAUCAGGUAGGAAUACCCGCUGAACUUAA
rnacentral:misc_RNA from 1 species